ensembl:lncRNA
CGGCACCCAUUUACUGAGACUACUACAGCGAGGAGAGCACUAUCAUUUUAUCAACCCAUUCCAGCCUUUUCUUCUCCUUCACACUAACCUUUCCUUCGCUCGCUCCCUCCCUCAGAAACGCCUACAGCUCCAGGGAGCGUACAGAAGAGACAGAGAGAGAGGAAAUCAGACAGAAAGAGAAAAGUGAGAUAUUCUUCACGCAGUCGUAGCAGCACAUGAAAUAUGCAGCUGUCCCACUUUUGGAGCUUCACAAUUAAUCUAAUGUUUCUCCAGCAAUCCUGACGGUGGUAAUCCAGAUCCCAGGGGUGAAGCGACGGCUGGAUCUGCCCCAGAGGAAGGGCUGGGGAUUACAGGAGAGACGACACCAGAGAAUAUCCACCCAUUACUGGGAACCAGCCAGCAGGUGGUGGAGAUUUAUCCAAAGAGUCCACGGAGGAGGUGUUGAGAGGCCCACAUGCCGAUGGCAGGUUGCACUGUUUUGGAGGUCGUCCAGAAAUGAAAUGCAGAUUUGAGUCUCUUCUCCUCCCUUGCGCGGUCGCUCCCGCCCCAAGCGUGACAGCGGCACUUCAUUUCAACAAAUGCAUUUUUUCUGAGACUGUUUAAGGAAUAAGGAGGAGAGACUGGAAUACAUAAAGAGAUGAAACUACACACCUCAUGAUGCAGAAACCACGACAUGUCGAGGAUAAACCGCCGAAUGAGACCAUCUCUGAGACCCGUCCCAUAUGGACACACAGAUG